UACGUAGGGUGCAAGCGUUAAUCGGAAUUACUGGGCGUAAAGCGUGCGCAGGCGGUUGUGCAAGACAGAUGUGAAAUCCCCGGGCUCAACCUGGGAAUUGCAUUUGUGACUAUACGGCUAGAGUGUGUCAGAGGGGGGUAGAAUUCCACGUGUAGCAGUGAAAUGCGUAGAGAUGUGGAGGAAUACCGAUGGCGAAGGCAGCCCCCUGGGAUAACACUGACGCUCAUGCACGAAAGCGUGGGGAGCAAACAGG
rnacentral:rRNA from 1 species